rnacentral:rRNA from 1 species
CAGGCGCGCAAAUUACCCAAUCCCGAUACGGGGAGGUAGUGACAAUAAAUACUGAUACGGGGCUCUUUUGGGUCUCGUAAUUGGAAUGAGAAUAAUUUAAAUCCCUUAACGAGGAACAAUUGGAGGGCAAGUCUGGUGCCAGCAGCCGCGGUAAUUCCAGCUCCAAUAGCGUAUAUUAAAGUUGUUGCAGUUAAAAAGCUCGUAGUUGAACCUUGGGUCUGGCUGGCCGGUCCGCCUCACCGCGAGUACUGGUCCGGCUGGACCUUUCCUUCUGGGGAACCUCAUGGCCUUCACUGGCUGUGGGGGGAACCAGGACUUUUACUGUGAAAAAAUUAGAGUGUUCAAAGCAGGCCUUUGCUCGAAUACAUUAGCAUGGAAUAAUAGAAUAGGACGUGCGGUUCUAUUUUGUUGGUUUCUAGGACCGCCGUAAUGAUUAAUAGGGAUAGUCGGGGGCGUCAGUAUUCAGCUGUCAGAGGUGAAAUUCUUGGAUUUGCUGAAGACUAACUACUGCGAAAGCAUUCGCCAAGGAUGUUUUCAUUAAUCAGGGAACGAAAGUUAGGGGAUCGAAGACGAUCAGAUACCGUCGUAGUCUUAACCAUAAACUAUGCCGACCAGGGA